GACGAACGCUGGCGGCGUGCCUAAUACAUGCAAGUAGAACGCUGAAGGAGGAGCUUGCUUCUCUGGAUGAGUUGCGAACGGGUGAGUAACGCGUAGGUAACCUGCCUGGUAGCGGGGGAUAACUAUUGGAAACGAUAGCUAAUACCGCAUAAGAGUAGAUGUUGCAUGACAUUUGCUUAAAAGGUGCAAUUGCAUCACUACCAGAUGGACCUGCGUUGUAUUAGCUAGUUGGUGGGGUAACGGCUUACCAAGGCGACGAUACAUAGCCGACCUGAGAGGGUGAUCGGCCACACUGGGACUGAGACACGGCCCAGACUCCUACGGGAGGCAGCAGUAGGGAAUCUUCGGCAAUGGACGGAAGUCUGACCGAGCAACGCCGCGUGAGUGAAGAAGGUUGUCGGAUCGUAAAGCUCUGUUGUAAGAGAAGAACGAGUGUGAGAGUGGAAAGUUCACACUGUGACGGUAUCUGACCAGAAAGGGACGGCUAACUACGUG
rnacentral:rRNA from 1 species